rnacentral:ncRNA from 2 species
UUACAUAUUAAUAAUUCCAUUUGUAUAUCGCCAUAUUAUGGUUGGCAGUAUCUACCCAAGACCGUCAUUCUUGGACUACGAAUGCUAAAAAUGAGUGA